GUGAGGAAUUUUCCGCAAUGGGCGAAAGCCUGACGGAGCAAUGCCGCGUGAAGGAUGAAGGCCUAUGGGUUGUAAACUUCUUUUCUCAGAAAAGAAUUAUGACGGUAUCUGAGGAAUAGGCAUCGGCUAACUCUGUGCCAGCAGCCGCGGUAAGACAGAGGAUGCAAGCGUUAUCCGGAAUGAUUGGGCGUAAAGCGUCUGUAGGUUGUUUAAAAAGUAUUCUGUCAAAGAUUAGGGCUUAACCCUAGAUAGGCAGAAUAAACUUUUAAGCUAGAGUUUGGUAGAGGCAGAGGGAAUUCCCGGUGGAGCGGUGAAAUGCGUAGAUAUCGGGAGGAACACCAAAGGCGAAGGCACUCUGCUGGGCCAAUACUAACACUGAGAGACGAAAGCGAGGGGAGCAAAUGGGAUUAGAUACCCCUGUAGUCC
rnacentral:rRNA from 1 species